GCUCAGGAUGAACGCUAGCUACAGGCUUAACACAUGCAAGUCGAGGGGCAGCAUGGUCUUAGCUUGCUAAGGCCGAUGGCGACCGGCGCACGGGUGAGUAACACGUAUCCAACCUGCCGUCUACUCUUGGACAGCCUUCUGAAAGGAAGAUUAAUACAAGAUGGCAUCAUGAGUCCGCAUGUUCACAUGAUUAAAGGUAUUCCGGUAGACGAUGGGGAUGCGUUCCAUUAGAUAGUAGGCGGGGUAACGGCCCACCUAGUCUUCGAUGGAUAGGGGUUCUGAGAGGAAGGUCCCCCACAUUGGAACUGAGACACGGUCCAAACUCCUACGGGAGGCAGCAGUGAGGAAUAUUGGUCAAUGGGCGAGAGCCUGAACCAGCCAAGUAGCGUGAAGGAUGACUGCCCUAUGGGUUGUAAACUUCUUUUAUAAAGGAAUAAAGUCGGGUAUGCAUACCCGUUUGCAUGUACUUUAUGAAUAAGGAUCGGCUAACUCCGUGCCAGCAGCCGCGGUAAUACGGAGGAUCCGAGCGUUAUCCGGAUUUAUUGGGUUUAAAGGGAGCGUAGAUGGAUGUUUAAGUCAGUUGUGAGAGUUUGCGGCUCAACCGUAAAAUUGCAGUUGAUACUGGAUAUCUUGAGUGCAGUUGAGGCAGGCGGAAUUCGUGGUGUAGCGGUGAAAUGCUUAGAUAUCACGAAGAACUCCGAUUGCGAAGGCAGCCUGCUAAGCUGCAACUGACAUUGAGGCUCGAAAGUGUGGGUAUCAAACAGGAUUAGAUACCCUGGUAGUCCACACGGUAAACGAUGAAUACUCGCUGUUUGCGAUAUACAGCAAGCGGCCAAGCGAAAGCGUUAAGUAUUCCACCUGGGGAGUACGCCGGCAACGGUGAAACUCAAAGGAAUUGGCGGGGGCCCGCACAAGCGGAGGAACAUGUGGUUUAAUUCGAUGAUACGCGAGGAACCUUACCCGGGCUUAAAUUGCAGAUGAAUUACGGUGAAAGCCGUAAGCCGCAAGGCAUCUGUGAAGGUGCUGCAUGGUUGUCGUCAGCUCGUGCCGUGAGGUGUCGGCUUAAGUGCCAUAACGAGCGCAACCCUUGUUGUCAGUUACUAACAGGUUCCGCUGAGGACUCUGACAAGACUGCCAUCGUAAGAUGUGAGGAAGGUGGGGAUGACGUCAAAUCAGCACGGCCCUUACGUCCGGGGCUACACACGUGUUACAAUGGGGGGUACAGAGGGCCGCUACCACGCGAGUGGAUGCCAAUCUCAAAAACCUCUCUCAGUUCGGACUGGAGUCUGCAACCCGACUCCACGAAGCUGGAUUCGCUAGUAAUCGCGCAUCAGCCACGGCGCGGUGAAUACGUUCCCGGGCCUUGUACACACCGCCCGUCAAGCCAUGGGAGCCGGGGGUACCUGAAGUGCGUAACCGCGAGGAGCGCCCUAGGGUA
rnacentral:rRNA from 1 species